CCUACGGGUGGCUGCAGUGGGGAAUUUUGGACACUGGGCGCAAGCCUGAUCCAGCUAUUCCGCGUGUGGGAUAAAGGCCCUCGGGUUGUAAACCACUUUUGUACAGAACGAAAAGACACCUUUUAAGAAAUGGUGUUGCUGCCGGUCCACUAAGCAUAGGCACCGUCUAACUCCGUGCCCGCAGCCGCGGUAAGACUGAGAGUGUUAUCGGUAGUCGGAAGUUCUGGGCGGAAAGGGUGCGGAGGCGGUAGAGUAAGAGAGAUGUGAAAUCCCCGAGCGUAAGUAGGGAAUGGCCUAUGCGACUGCUCGACUGGAGUGUGUAAGAGGGAGGUGGAAUGCGAGGUGUAGCAGUGAAAUGCGUAGAUAUGUGGAAGAACACCGAUGGCGAAGGCAGCCUCCUGGGCCACAACUGACGCUCAGGCACGAAAGCGUGGGGAGCAAACAGGAUUAGAUACCCCUGUAGUC
rnacentral:rRNA from 1 species